CGGUUAGAACAGUUGACAUUCUGAUCCAGGUAACCAGGUUCAAUCCCUGGCAAGAGCCAUUGCAUGUGUUUUGUUUUGGGCAAGAUGGCUUACUCAUAAUGCAUCUCUGCCCAGGUGUAUAAAGGGUACUAGGGAAUGUAAUGCUGGGAGGUGACCUCGCCAUGUACUAGCAUCCCAUCCAAGGGGUGAAAGAAAGAUACCUAGUGGCUAUCAUAAAAACCAGAGGUUAGUGGCAGCUUGAUGGCUGAUGCCACUACCAGGCUCGCAUGAAGACUUGCUGUUAGCCUACAAUCGAUGUUGUUGAAAACUUGUGUAAUAAGUUAUAUUCUAACCUUACACAUUUAUUCCCUCUCUAAUUUGUGACUGCAUUUUGUUUCCCUCAGGGCUCUUUUCAGGAUUAUCUGUAGUCAGCCAUAUUAGUAAUUACCGCAGGAAACAAAGGCGGCUCAAUAGUGGAAACUGUGCCUCAUGUGAUGUUUCGUUUUCUUCUGUGUUGAAAAAGCGACAAUAUUGUCGCCAUUGUGGAGAUAGCUUUUGCUCUCGCUGUUGCUGCAAGCAUGUCAAGAGGUCGGUGUUCGGAGCCACAGCACCAGCAGCCUAUGAAGAGACAGUGCUGGUUUGUAAAAGCUGUUAUGGCUACCUCAUGAACAAAGCCGAAGAAAUGAAUACAGACAUUUGGUGAAGUUUGUCACAUGGCAUGUCCAGUUGUGUGCGUGGGCAGAUCUGCAAUAUCGAAUGGACAAUGAGUAGUGAUCCUCGUAUAAUUUGAAAUUAUUUGAGACUUUUUAAAUGGCAAUAUGUAGCGAAAUUAAAAAGAACUAUGUCACUUGUAACUUAUUUGUGAAUCUUCUAUUAGAUAUAUCAGAUCGGGGGCAUUAACCUCUUGUGGACGUACUGGGAAAUAUUGGCCUGAAGUUGUGGCAGUACAGACCGAGCGCAUCGAAGUCCGUACAAAAUCGACCAAGGGCCAAUGUUCCCCAGUACAGCUCCAGCAAGCUAGGUUAGAAAGUAGUUUGUUAUAGGGCACUCAAAACAAAAACAAAAAUACACGGCUUAUGACCUUUUCCAAUGGAAACGGCCCGUAAGGCAAAAUUCUGACUUAAAAAAGAAGCGAACAGAACGCUUGGAUUUACCUCAAGACUACCUUGCCAAACAAUAUUUCUUAUUAACCCCAUGGCCUAGGGCGAGUGGGGUUCUUAAUUUUCGUCGCCUUUUUCCAGCAGAAGUCGAGAGAAAAUUUAAGAGCUGGUCUUUGAACUUUUGUGACAAACUGGUUGUCACUAACUGGUUGAACACUUAUGACGAACUUGUUGUAAAGAUGUUUUGAACAAGGAUAGUGUUAGUUUUUAAUUCAUUGUAUUUUUAUUGUAUUUUUAUUGUUUUUACGUUGUAUUGUUCACUGAAAAACCUAUUUUUGGGAGUGUGCAAUAAAGAUUCAACUUCAACUUCAACUUCAAAGAGGCAUAUUGGCGGUGAAAUGUGUUGGAGAAUAACAAAAUUACCCGUUGUGAUAA